UCUUCACAAUUAGUUUUUUCAUUUGAUCAUGGUUACUAACUUAGAAGUUGAGAGUGGAUUUUUAUAUUUUAGAGGGAGGAAGAAGGGAAAAAGAAGAGAGUGGGAAGUGAAUACUGCAAUUGAGACUGAGAGAGACUUGAAAAAAACUAAAUGGAGCUUAUUAUUUCUUUACUAUAGAAAUGAGUGGCAUGGGAGAAAAUGGACUGAGGAGAGGGCGUAAAUGGAAGAAGGAGAAGAAAAUGUUGAGACACUGCCUUCUCAUGUAAGGACAUCAAAACAUUUCCUCCCUUCGGAGCAGGCAAGAUAUAGAUUGAAGGGAUUCUUUAUGUCAGAGAUGGCAAGGUAAACAUUCUAUGUGUUUGCCAUGGCCUUUUACACUCUCCGGUUGGAUUUUUCAAGCAAGCCGGUGGAAACAAAGUGGCAAAUCCCUUGCAGCACAUAAUUGUCUGCUUUUCUUCUGAUUAGGUCAAUGGCGUUGGCUCCGUCACCUUGGAAUGUUAACAUAUAGUUAACUAAUAUGUAAACACCCUAAUUUGAGCAAUUAGCUCUCAUUUUAUGGAUUAUUUUGUAUAUUAUCUUAUAUAUAGUCCUCUCCAAUUUAACUGUGGAUGUUUGGAUGGCUUUAAGGUGAUGUCAAAGCUUAUGUAUUUGGCAUAUAGAUAAACUAUUGUUUAGUAUAGGUACCAUAAAGCACAUCAAGCAAACUUCUGGUCUCCUUAUAAUUUGUUAGUUUGCUCUACAUCGAGCCUUUGUAGCUGGUUGGCCUUGCGCUAUAUCCGACAUUUAGCAUAGUUAUUAAUUAUUAAUGUAAGACUACAAAGAUAUUAUCUUGAAUUAUUAUGUAGUUGUAAAGAUCACUAUAUUCUAGACACAGUGAAAAUUAUUGGUAUUAUGUCAUUUAGUAUGUAAUAUUUGUUCCCUAAAAAAUGAGGAACAAUUGACCAAAUUGUGAGUGGCAAUGGGCUAAAUAUUUUAACAAUGUACAUUAACUUCGGAAAUAUAAAACAUAAUUUAUUUUAUUAUUUUGACUGUUUUUGGAUUUAAAUUUGAGCCGUGACUUAUAGUUGGAUUUGAAAAAAAAAAUAUUUGAUCAAUUAGAUCAAAUUCAAAAGAUUGCCAAAAAAAGAGAGAGGUUGAUCUGGACCAUUAAUAACCAACAGUUGAUAAAUUGAAAGACUGAGCUUGAAACCCAAGUUAUUAUCCCUCUGCCCCGAGGGACCAACUGUUAGCCAUUCACCUACAUGUUCAGCGACUUUUAGAAAAAUAUACUAAUUGUGCACAUUAAACUUUCUGAAAUUAGAAAGAAAAUUGCUUUUAUAACGAUUGCACAAUUAGAAUUUUAGAGUGCCAAUAAUAGUUCUCUUUGAACUUUGUAACGGUUAUGUGCAUGUGAGACAUCAUCAGUCAUUUCACGCGAAGUUGAUGAACAUUUUGUCUAUGGCUAACCCAACUUUAUUACCAACAUCACUUGGGUGCUUUAGUGGACAUGAAAUUUAAUACGUAUGUCGUAAAUUGUUUCAGUUAUAUUUUACUUUAUGUAAUAAUCGUCUACUUUCUUUGUAUGUUGACGUGAAACAAGUGAAAGAUAUUUGAAUUUUGUAGUUGAUAUAUAUGUGUGAUAUUCUCUGCCAUUUCAUGUGAAACUGGUGAAUGUUUUGUCUGUGGCUAAACCAACUUUAUAACCACCAUCACGUGAACUGACAAGGUAAUUAAUACGUGGACAUACAGUGUUUUGAUUAGCUUUUACUUUUGAGUAACCAUCGACCACCUUCUUUGUAUGUUCACGUGAAACAAGUGAACACCCAACAUAGGUUUUAUCGUCCAACUUUCUAUAAGCACCUCCCACCUUUCUUUAUGAAUACAUAGAGUGAUAGAUAUAUUCUUCACAAUUAGUUUUCGCAUUCGAUCAUGGUUACCAACUUAGAAGCUGAGAGUGGGUUUUUAUAUUUUAGAGGGAGAAGAAGGGGAGGAGAAGAAAGUGGGAAGUGAAUAGUACAAUUGAGAUUGAGAGGGACUUGAAAAAACUAGAUGGAACUUGUUAUUACUUUACUAUAGAAAUGAGUGGCAUGGGAGAAAAUGGACCAAAGAGAGGAUGUAAAGGAAGAAGGAAUAGGAAAUGUUGAGACACUGCCUUCUCAUAUAAGAUCAUCAAAACAUGUCUUUCCUUUGGAGUAGGCAGGAUAUAGUUUGAAGGAUUCUUUAAACCAGAGAUGGCCAGGUAAAUAUUCUGUGCGUUUGCCAUGGCCUUUUACACUCCCCGGCUGGAUUUUUUCGAGCAUGCCGGUGGAAACAAAGUGGCGAAUCCCCUGCAGCAUAUAAUUGUCUACGCUUCUUCCGAUUAGGUCAAUGGCAUUGGCUCUUUCGCCGUGGAAUGUUAACAUACAGUUAACUAAUUUGUAAACAUCCUAAUUUGAGAAAUUAGCUCUCAUUUUAUGGUUAUUUUGUAUAUUAUCUUAUGUAGUUCUCUCCAAUUAAUUCCGGAUGUUUGGAUGGCUUUAAGGUGAUGUCAAAGCUUAUGUAUUUGGACAUAUACAUAAACCGUCGGUUAGUAUAGGUACCAUAAAGCACACUAAGCAGACUAGUUGGUUUUGCUCUAUAUCGAGCCUUUGUCACUGGUUAGCCUUGAACUACACCGAGAUUUAGCAUAGAGAUUAAUUAUUAAUGUAAGACUACAAAGAUAUCAUCUAAGAUUAUUAUGUAAUUGUAAAGAUCACUAUAAAAUUAUUGCAACUAUGUCAUUGAGUGUGUAAUAUUUGUUCCCUGAAAAAAUGAAGAACAAUUUGUUCCCUAAAUUAUUACCAACAUCACAUGAGCGCUUGAGCGGACAUGAAAUUUAGUACAUGUAUC